rnacentral:rRNA from 1 species
GAGCGAUCAAGUGCCUUAAGGGCGUUCGGUGGAUGCCUUGGCGCGCGCAGGCGAUGAAGGACGUGGUACGCUGCGAUAAGCCAUGGGGAGCUGCGAACAAGCUUUGAUCCGUGGAUAUCCGAAUGGGGAAACCCACCUCCGAGACCCGUUUCCGAUUGUCCGGCCGUCGUGUCGGGCUUUCGGCAACGGGUUUCGAAACGAGGUAUCUGGCCCUGAAUAUAUAGGGGUUAAGAAGCGAACCCGGGGAACUGAAACAUCUAAGUACCCGGAGGAAAGGACAUCAACUGAGACUCCCCUAGUAGUGGCGAGCGAACGGGGACCAGGCCAGUGGCGAUUGCGAGACAACCGGAACCGUCUGGAAAGUCGGGCCAUAGUGGGUGACAGCCCCGUACGGGUAAUGCGAGCAAUCGUCCUUGAGUAGGGCGGGACACGUGAAAUCCUGUCUGAACAUGGGGGGACCACCCUCCAAGCCUAAGUACUCCUUAGCGACCGAUAGCGAACCAGUACCGUGAGGGAAAGGUGAAAAGCACCCCGACGAGGGGAGUGAAACAGUUCCUGA